AGAAGUUUAUGUGGCAGCUUUGGAGAAUAUAUCUCAUAGAAUCAACAAAGAAAUAUACUUGUUAUUGAUUGUACGACUCAAGGGAGAGUCUCUGUAGUGGAUGUGUGACCGAGUAGUGUGGUAAAGAUAAGAGCUUGAUCAUUUAUUUAAAUAUUUUUAAAUAUUAGUUAGAGUUAGUAGAGUUAUGGCAUUGGUUAACUCUAAAGUCUAUAAAUAGAGAGUGUAAGUUCAUUUUUUUUAUUGACUCACACUCACCAAUUACUCCCUCUUUCUCUCUCGUAGCCAUCUUCUCCCAUUCCAAUUUAUCUCUUUGUUUUCAUCAAGAGCCAAGCACCAAUAUCACCAUUAAACUCUCAUAGUUUUCUUUUUAUUUCAUUCACAGCCAAUGCUUCAAACUUCCAUUCAUACCACCUCACACAACCAUACAAUACCAUACACCACUUUUAAUUUCAAAAUCACCGUCAUCUUCUUAUAAUUAUCAUAUAGCCACAGCACCAUAAUUUUUGUUAUUUAGCCAAAACACAUGAACCUUACCAUUGCUACCAAUUGUUCAUCAAGUUAUAGAGUUCUAAACUUAGGGUCGCAAUUAGUUGGUGUUUUCAUUUCCAAAAAUUAAGGUUUACGUGGUAUGUAUACAAGGCUUUGGUUCUACAUAUAAUUUUCGCAAUCAAGCUAGGAUCUCCACAUUCGAGAUUAAGGUUCUAAAACUUAGAAAGCCGGUGGCAAGUGAGACCUUGGAGGCUUGUGUGUGUACUCGCUGAGGAUCAUAUAACUGAGGGUGGUCUAGGGCACGCUCCAUUUAUUUUAUUUAGUGUUAUUAAAUUAAUGUCGCAGUUAUUUUUAUUUAUUAAUUAUUAUGUCUUUUAAGUCCAAACUGAGCUCAAAUAUGAAAUAUUUUAUGUUUAUAAAUAAAAGCGACAUUAUAGAUUUUCCGCAUUUUAACGCUUGUAACUAAAUUAGUAAUUUAUGAAAAGUACGGGCGU